ensembl:lncRNA
GAUGGGAUAGGAUGGGAUGGGUGGGAUGGAUGGAAUGGGUGGGGGUACCUUUGGGAUGGGUGGGGUCACCAUUGGGAUCGGUGGGAUGGAUGGGGUGGGUGGGGACACCUUUGGGAUGGGUGGGAUGAGUGGGGUUCGCAUUGGGAAUGGUGGGAGGGGUGGGAUGGAUGGGAUGGGAGGGAUCAUUGGUGGGAUGGGUGGAAUCAGUGGGAUGGAUGGGAUGGGUGGGAUGAUGGGAUGGAUGGGAUUACGGCUGGGAUGGAUGGGGUCAUCGGUGGGCUUAUGGGAUGGUGGAAUGGGUGGGAUCACCAGUGGGGUCAUGGGACCAAUGGGUGACAUGGGUGGAUCGUCCAUGGCAUGAGUGGGAUCGCUGGGAUUGAUGGGAUAAUUGGUGGGAUGGGUGGGAUGAUGGGAUGGGGGGAUCGUAGGUGGGAUUGGUGGGAUCAAUAGGAUGGAUGGGAUCAUUGGUGGGGUCAUGGGAUCGAUGGGUGACAUGGGUGGGACCAUGGAUGGGAUCGUCAGCGGCAUCCAUGGGAUCAGUGGGAUCAGUGGGAUGGAUGGGAUCAUCAGCAGCAUCCAUGGGACCAGAGGUAUUGCUGGGAUGGAUGGGAUCAUCAGAGGCAUCCAUGGGAUCAGUGGGAUCAGUGGGAUGGAUGGGAUCAUCAGUGGGGUCAUGGGAUCAGUGGGAUUUCUGGGAUGGAUGGGAUCAUCACUGGGAUCCAUGGGAUCAGUCGCAUCGUUGGGAAGGGUGGGAUCAUCAGUGGGGUCAUGGGAUCAAUGGUUGACAUGGGUGAGGUCACUGGUGGCAUCAGUGGGAUCAGUGGGAUCGCUGGGAUGGAUGGGAUCAUUGGUGGGAUGGAUGGGAUCAUCAGUUGGGAUGGGUGGGAUCAUCAGUGGGGCCAUGGGAUCAGUGGGAUUGCAGGGAUGGAUGGGACCAUCAGUGAGGUCAUGGGAUCAGUGUGAUCGCUGGUGUGGAUGGGAGCAUCACUGGGAUCCAUGGGAUCAGUGGGAUCGUUGGGAUGGAUGGGAUCAUUGUUGGGGUCAUGGGAUCGAUGGGUGACAUGGGUGGGAUCAAUGGUGGGAUCAAUGGGAUGGAUGGGAUCAUUGGGGUCAUGGGCUCAAUGGGUGAUAUGGGUGGGAUCAGGGAUGGGAUCAUCAGCGGCAUCCAUGGGAUCAGUGGGAUCAGUGGGAUGGAUGGGAACAUCAGUGGGGUCAUGGGAUGAAUGAAUGGUUGACAUGGGUGAGGUCACUGGUGGCAUCAGUGGGAUCAGUGGGAUUUCUGGGAUGGAUGGGAUCAUUGUUGGGAUGGGUGGGAUCAUCAGUGGGGUCAUGGGGUCGAUGGGUGACAUGGGUGGGAUCAUGGAUGGGAUCAGUGGGAUGGAUGGGAUCAUUGGUGGGGUCAUUUGAUCGAUAGGUGACAUGGGUGGGGUCACCAAUGGGAUCAUCGGUGACAUCAGAGGGAUCAAUAGGAUCACUGGAAUGGAUGGGAACAUCAGUGGGAUGGAUGGGAUCAUCAGUGGGGUCAUGGGAUGGAUGGUCGACAUGGGUGAGGUCACUAGUGGCAUCAGUGGGAUCAGUGGGAUCGCUAGGAUGGAUGGGAUCAUCAGCGGCAUCCAUAGGAUCAGUGGGAUCAGUGGGAUGGAUGGGAUCAUCGGUGGGGUCAUGGGGUUGAUGGGUGACAUGGGUGGGAUCAGGGAUGGAAUCAUCAGCAGCAUCCAUAGGGUCAGUGGGAUCAGUGGGAUGGAUGGGAUCAUCAGUGGGGUCAUGGGAUCAUCAGUGGCGUUCAUGGGAUCAGUGGGAUCAGUGGGAUGGAUGGGAUCAUCAGUGAGGUCAUGGGAUCAGUGUGAUCGCUGGUGUGGAUGGGAUAAUCACUGGGAUCCAUGGGGUCAAUGGGAUCUUUGGGAUGGAUGGGAUCAUCAGUGGGGUCAUGAGAUCAGUGGGAUUGCUGGGAUGGGUGGGAUCAUUGGUGGGGUCAUGGGAUCGAUGGGUGACAUGAGUGGGAUCAAUGGUGGGAUCUAUGGGAUGGAUGGGAUGAUUGGUGGGGUCAUGGGAUCGAUGGGUGACAUGGGUGGGGUCACCAAUGGGAUCAUCGGUGACAUCAGUGGGAUCAAUAGGAUCACUGGAAUGGAUGGGAGCAUCAGUGGGAUGGGUGGAAUCAUCAGUGGGGUCAUGGGAUCAAUGGUUGACAUGGGUGAGGUCACUGGUGGCAUCAGUGGGAUCAGUGGGAUUUCUGGGAUGGAUGGGAUCAUUGUUGGGAUGGAUGGGAUCAUUGUUGGGGUCAUGGGGUCGAUGGGUGACAUGGGUGGGGUCAUGGAUGGGAUCAUCAGUGGCAUCAGUGGGAUCAAUAGCAUCGCUGGGAUGGAUGGGACCAUCAGUGAGGUCAUGGGAUCAGUGGGAUCGCUGGUGUGGAUGGGAUAAUCACUGGGAUCCAUGGGGUCAGUGGGAUCUUUGGGAUGGAUGGGAUCAUUGUUGGGGUCAUGAGAUCAGUGGGAUUACUGGAAUGGGUGGGAUCAUUGGUGGGAUCGGCGUAGUGGAUGGGAUCAGUGGGAUCAUCAGCGGGAUGUAUGGGAACACUGAGACUGGGAUAGCUGGGAUGGAUGGGAUCAGCAGCGGCGUCAUGGGAUCGAUGGUGACAUCACCAGUGGGAUCAUGGGUGGCAUCAGGGGGAUCGUUGGGAUGGGUGGGAUCACUGAGGGAUGGAUGGGAUGGGUCGGAUCGCUGCUGGCAUCAGUGGGAUCGGGGGGACCAAUGGCAUUGCUGGGAUCGCAUGGAUGGAUGGGAUCGUCGGUGGGUUAUGGGAUCAAUGGGUGACAUGGGUGGGACCAUGGAUGGGAUCAAUGGGAUGGUUGGGAUCAAUGGUGGGAUCAAUGGGAUGGAUGGGAUCGUCGGUGGGGUUAUGGGAUCAAUGGGUGACAUGGGUGGGGUCACUGGUGGGAUCAUGGGUGGCAUCAGUGAGAUCAGUGGGGUCGCUGGGAUGGAUGGGAUCAUCACUGGGAUUGUUGGGGUUGGUGGGACGGAUGGGAUCAUCACUGGGAUUGGUGGGAUGGAUGGGAUGGAUGGGAUCAUCACUGGGAUGGAUGGGAUCAUCACUGGGAUUGGUGGGACGGAUGGGAUCAUACUGGGAUGGAUGGGAUCAUACUGGGAUGGAUGGGAUCAUCACUGGGAUUGAUGGGACGGGUGGAAUCAUACUGGGAUGGAUGGGAUCAUCAGUGGGAUUGGUGGGAUGGAUGGGAUGGAUGGGAUCAUCACUGGGAUGGAUGGGAUCAUCACAGGGAUUGGGGGGAUGGAUGGGAUCAUACGGGGAUGGAUGGGAUCAUCACUGGGAUUGGUGGGAUGGAUGGGAUCAUACUGGGAUGGAUGGGAUAAUCACUGGGAUUGGUGGGAUGGAUGGGAUCAUACUGGGAUGGAUGGGAUAAUCACUGGGAUUGGUGGGAUUGGAGGGAUGGAUGGGAUCAUCACUGGGAUUGGUGGGAUGGAUGGGAUCAUACUGGGAUGGAUGGGAUCAUCACUGGGAUUGGUGGGAUCACUGGGAUCGGUGGGAUCGCUGGGAUGGAUGGGAUCACUGAGAUGUCUGGGAUUGGUGGGAUGGGUGGGAUCAACACUGACGUCAUGUGAUCGAUGGUGACAUGGAUGGGAUCACAAAUGGGAUCAUAGUUGGUAUCAGAGGGAUCACUGGGAUGGAUGGGAUCAUUGGUGGGACUGCUGGGACGUGCGGGAUGGAUGGGAUCAUCAGUGGGGUCACGGGACCAAUGGGUCACUGGUGGCAUCAUCGGUGGGAUCAGUGGGAUUGCUGGUAUCACUGGGAUAAAUGGGACCAUCUGUAGGAUGGGUUGGAUUGCUGGGGGGGUCAUGGGAUCAAUGGGAGACACGUCACCAUUGGGAUCAUCGUGGGGUCAUGGGAUCAAUGGGAGACAUGUCACCAUUGGGAUCAUCGUGGGGUCAUGGGAUCAAUGGGAGACACGUCACCAUUGGGAUCAUUGGUGGGGUCAUGGGAUGGAUGGGCGACAUGACACCAUUGGGAUCAUUGGUGGGGUCAUGGGAUCAAUGGGAGACACGUCACCAUUGGGAUCACUGGUGUGGUCAUAGGAUGGAUGAGUGACGUCACCAUUGGGAACACUGGUGUGGUCAUAGGAUGGAUGGGUGAUGUCUCCAUUGGGAUCAUCGGUGGGGUCAUGGGAUCAAUGGGUGACAUGACACCAUUGGGAUCAUCGGUGGGGUCAUGGGAUGGAUGGGUGACACGUCACCAUUGGGAUCAUCGGUGGGGUCAUGGGAUCAACGUGUGACAUGACACCAUUGGGAUCAUCGGUGGGGACAUGGGAUGGAUGGGUGACGUCACCAUUGGGAUCAUCAGUGGGGUCAUGGGAUCAAUGGGAGACACAUCACCAUUGGGAUCAUCGGUGGGGUCAUGGGAUCAAUGGGAGACACGUCACCAUUGGGAUCAUCGGUGGGGUUAUGGGAUCAAUGGGGGACGUCACCAUUGGGAUCAUCAGUGGGGUCAUGGGAUGGAUGGGUGAUGUCACCGUUGGGAUCAUCGGUGGGGUCAUGGGAUCAGUGGGAGACAUGUCACCAAUGGGAUCAUCAAUGGGGUUACGGGAUGGAUGGGUGACACGUCACCAUUGGGAUCAUCGGUGGGGUCAUGGGAUGGAUGGGUGACGUCACCAUUGGGAUCAUCGGUGGGGUCAUGGGAUCAGUGGGAGACACGUCACCAUUGGGAUCAUCGGUGGGGAUACCGGAUCAAUGGGUGACAUCACCAUUGGGAUCAUCGUUGGGGUCAUGGAAUAGAUGGGUGACGUCACCAUUGGGAUCAUCGGUGGGGUCAUGGGUUCGAUGGGAGACAUGUCACUAUUGGGAUCAUCGGUGGGGUUAUGGGAUCGAUGGGAGACAUGACACCAUUGGGAUCAUCGAUGGGGUCAUGGGAUGGAUGGGUGACACGUCACCAUUGGGAUCAUUGGUGGGGACAUGGGAUUGAUGGGUGACAUGUCACCAUUGGGAUCAUCGGUGGGGUUAUGGGAUCGAUGGGAGACAUAUCACCAUUGGGAUCAUCGGUGGGGUUAUGGGAUGGAUGGGAGACACGUCACCAUUGGGAUCAUCGUGGGAUCAUGGGAUCGAUGGGUGACAUCACCAUUGGGAUCAUCGGUGGGGUCAUGGGAUCAGUGGGAUUGGUGGGAUGGAUGGGAUCAUCAGUGGGGUCAGGGAAUCAAUGGGCGAUAUGGGUGGGAUCGUGAGUGGGAUUACUGGUGGCAUCCAUGGGGUCAGAAUGAUUGGUGGGGUCACGUGGAUGGGUGGGAUCGCUGGGAUGGAUGGGAUCAUUGGGAUGGAUGGGAUCAUUGGGAUGGAUGGGAUCACCGAAUGGUGGGUGGGAUCACUGGGAUCUCUGGGAUGGGUGGGAUCACUGAAUGAUGCGUGGGGUCACUGGGAUGGAUGGCAUCAUUGGAUGAUGGGGGGGAUCACUGGGAUGGAUGGGAUCAUUGAAUGGUGGGUGUGAUGACUGGGAUCAUUGGGAUGGAUGGGAUCAUUGGUGGGAUGGGUGGGAUCACUGGUGGCAUCAGUGGGGUCACCGAGGUGGUGGUGCUGGGAUGGAUGGGAUCAUUGAAUGAUGGGUGGGGUCACUGGGAUGGAUGGGAUCACUGGGAUGGAUGGGAUCACCG